GCCCAGACUCCUACGGGAGGCAGCAGUGGGGAAUAUUGCACAAUGGGGGGAACCCUGAUGCAGCGACGCCGCGUGAGGGAAGAAGGUUUUCGGAUUGUAAACCUCUGUCCUCUGUGACGAUAAUGACGGUAGCAGAGGAGGAAGCCACGGCUAACUACGUGCCAGCAGCCGCGGUAAUACGUAGGGGGCAAGCGUUAUCCGGAUUUACUGGGUGUAAAGGGAGCGUAGACGGCAAUGCAAGCCAGAUGUGAAAGCCCGGGGCUCAACCCCGGGACUGCAUUUGGAACUGUGUAGCUGGAGUGUCGGAGAGGCAGGCGGAAUUCCGUGUGUAGCGGUGAAAUGCGUAGAUAUACGGAGGAACACCAGUGGCGAAGGCGGCCUGCUGGACAUUAACUGACGCUGAGGCGCGAAAGCGUGGGGAGCAAACAGGAUUAGAUACCCGAGUA
rnacentral:rRNA from 1 species